UUCGACUUGUGUUCGGCUCAUUAAAAACUCGUUCAAACUUAAUUCUUUAGGUAAACAAGGUUAAACACAUUUUUGAACUUGUUAAAAUUUUCAAAUGAAACUUGAAUAAUCAAUUACUUAUUCAACUCUUUAAAUCUAUAAAAAAAAUACCAAACUAUUCAAGUUCGGCUCGACAAAAACUUGUUUGAGAUCGGCUCAAAAGUUUAAUAAACUAAGCUUUCAUUACAAUUUUCAAACUAAACUUAAAUGGUUAACCGUUCGGCUCAUUCAAUUUGUUUAUCAGUUCUAACUAUAAGAGACAAUUUAUAUUUUAAACAAAUAUAAUUGUAAUUUACUCUUUUUUUGGUGGGCUCAAUUGUCAAAAUUUGACUUUGGCAUUGGAUUUUGGUAAUCCCAUUGGAGUUGCUCUUGGUUGUUUCAACCAACCGAUGGCUAUGGUCCCAUUCAGCCCAAAUACACAAGGAUGAUAACAACAAACACUCCUGAACUGGCAAGAGGUUCCUAACCUCUGCUUCACCAAACCCAUGCUCUUUCUGCCCUCAAAAACCCCAGCUCUUGCUCCUAAUCAAGCCUGUCCACACCUUGUACUCAUUGCUGCCACCACUGUCAUUGUCAUCAUUGUUGUGGACUCCGCAGACCUCUUCAUCUUGUGAAGGAAGCAAUCCACUCAUUGAUCUCGUGAUUCUUGGUGG